GCGACCCCAGGAUGGGCGGGGCUACCCGCUGAGUUUAAGCAUAUCAAUAAGCGGAGGAGAAGAAACUUACGAGGAUUCCCCUAGUAACGGCGAGCGAACCGGGAUAGGCCCAGCGUUGGAAUCGGGGUGCCAUAUAGCAGCUCGAAUUGUAGUCUGGAGAAGCGUCCUCAGCGACGGACCGGGCCCAAGUCUCCUGGAAAGGGGCGCCAGGGAGGGUGAGA
rnacentral:rRNA from 1 species